rnacentral:rRNA from 1 species
AUUGAACGCUGGCGGCAUGCCUAACACAUGCAAGUCGAACGGAAACGAUGGGAGCUUGCUCCCAGGCGUCGAGUGGCGGACGGGUGAGUAAUGCUUAGGAAUCUGCCCAGUAGUGGGGGACAACCAGAAGAAAUUCUGGCUAAUACCGCAUACGCACUACGGUGGAAAGUGGGGGACCUUCGGGCCUCACGCUAUUGGAUGAGCCUAAGUCGGAUUAGCUUGUUGGUAGGGUAAUGGCCUACCAAGGCGACGAUCCGUAGCUGGUCUGAGAGGACGAUCAGCCACACUGGGACUGAGACACGGCCCAGACUCCUACGGGAGGCAGCAGUGGGGAAUAUUGGACAAUGGGCGCAAGCCUGAUCCAGCAAUGCCGCGUGUGUGAAGAAGGCCUGCGGGUUGUAAAGCACUUUCAGUAGAGAAGAAAAGCCUACGGUUAAUACCCGUGAGUCUUGACGUAACCUACAGAAGAAGCACCGGCUAACUCCGUG